CCUACGGGAGGCAGCAGUGGGGAAUAUUGCACAAUGGGGGAAACCCUGAUGCAGCGACGCCGCGUGAGUGAAGAAGGAAUUCGGUAUGUAAAGCUCUAUCAUCCGGGACGAAAAUAACGGUACCUGAGUAAGAAGCCCCGGCUACCUACGUGCCAGCAGCAGCGGUAAUACGUAGGGGGCAAGCGGUAUCCGGAUUUACUGGGUGGUAAGGGAGCGUAGACGGCAGUGCAAGUCUGGAGUGAAAGGCGGGGGCUCAACCCCCGGACUGCUCUGGAAACUGUACGGCUGGAGUGCAGGAGAGGUAAGUGGAAUUCCUAGUGUAGCGGUGAAAUGCGUAGAUAUUAGGAGGAACACCAGUGGCGAAGGCGGCUUACUGGACUGUAACUGACGUUGAGGCUCGAAAGCGUGGGGAGCAAACAGGAUUAGAUACCCUAGUAGUC
rnacentral:rRNA from 1 species